rnacentral:rRNA from 1 species
GAAUAUUGGUCAAUAGCCCAACGGCUGAACCAGCAACUUGGAGGAAUGUAUAGCGAAAGCUUAUUGUAUUAGCUGGCAAUGGUUAAUACAAUAUCGAUUCUGUCGACUAAAAUUCUAGGUAAAAUAAUGAUAAUGACAUUUUUUAUCUAUGUGUCUUGACCAAGUCUCGUGCCAGCAGUCGCGGCAAUACGUGGAAGACUAGUGUUAUUCAUCUUUAAUAGGUUUAAAGGGUACCCAGACGGAAUAUUUAGCCCACAAAGGGUACUAAAUAUUCUAGAGUUUAAUGUGAGAUGGAGUUAAUAGUACUACCGGUGUAGAGAUGAAAUUCGUUGAUACCGGUAGGGAACUGGCAGCGGCGAAAGCAACCCUUUAUGUAAAAACUGACGUUGA